GCAGUAGCCGCGGGAAUACAGAGGGUGCGAGCGUUAAUCGGAUUUACUGGGCGUAAAGCGUGCGUAGGCGGCUAAUUGAGUCGGAUGUGAAAUCCCCGAGCUUAACUUGGGAAUUGCAUUUGAUACUGGUUAGCUAGAGUGUGGGAGAGGAUUGUAGAAUUCCAGGUGUAGCGGUGAAAUGCGUAGAGAUCUGGAGGAAUACCGAUGGCGAAGGCAGCCAUCUGGCCUAACACUGACGCUGAGGUACGAAAGCAUGGGGAGCAAACAGGAUUAGAUACCCCUGUAGUCCCUGUCUCUUAUAC
rnacentral:rRNA from 1 species